AAAGGUUUGUGAAGAACCUGAAAAGGCAAUUCAUUUUACGAAGUUAGACGAGACAAAUAUCGCAACCCAAAAGGUUUGGGAUCAUGUAUUCAACCCCUUCAGCAAUUUCUUGGCUUUGUACAGGCCAGUGUGACACAGGGUGCAUACAGUUAGUUCUUAAGAAUUUCUAGUGUAUUGUGACAUCCUGCAUUCCCAGGAAACAUGUUAACUCAUGUUCUCUCAGUGCGGAUAAAUUGAAGCAUGUACAAUGGAGGUGCUUGAAAACACCUUUUUUUUUUCUUCACCAACCAUUAGCACCUGAUUCUUAAAAGGCGGAUUCGAUGCUUUUUUUCGAACAACGCAAGAGAGUUGCAUGUCAUUUCAUUAAGAAAAGAGAACCAAAUACACAGAGAGGAAAGAGACCUCCUGAACACACAACACACUAACACAACUCCUCUAGAGCUAAAACAACAACAUGACCAUGACCACACACUAGUUAGCACCCAGCUGAGAGGGGUCUGCACACUUCUUAAGAGGAGCUCUUGCUGACCGGCGGCCCCGGCUAUGAGUUGGAUACGAUGCUUACGUUAGCAUCAAUGCUUAAUGUGUGUUAACAUAUUGGUUUAAGCUUAUCUAAGAACCUAUUUGCAACUUUGCAUUGUAGGAAUGAACUUCUCUAUCAAUGCCUAGUGAUAUGACAACGUUCUCUCUCCCUAAGCACCUGUGUUUAAGCAUCUUGCAUUGUACAUGCCCUUAGAGCAACUCCAUCCUUGAUUCCUUGGCAGUGCCUUUGCUUUAAACUUACAGCUAGUGAACCAACUUUUGUUAUACUAUACUGGCAUGAUGAUAUGUAUACACAUUCAUUCCUAAUCAAAACCCUGUUAAUGGAAGGUUCAUAAAUUGAUUUUUUUAUUUAUUUAUCUAAAACCUCUGUUCGACUGUCACCUGAUUGCUCCCUACUAACUUUUGAGGUUCUGAAGGGUUCUAAAGAUAAAAGAAAGGAAACCUUUGCAGAAGGCAACACUCAGGAGGAAUGCAAGGUUUGUGACCUCUCAUCAUGGCGAUAGUUUGUUGAUUUUCUGUGAUUAACUUGCACUGAAAAGCUUUUGAAUGUUUUCUCUUUUCUUUUCUCUAAAAAUUCUGUUAAUGCCUUAAUGAUAACAUAUGUUAAGAUUCAAUUGGUAUUGGUACUGAGAACCAGUUCCCUGAGGUCAAGCCAGUUAUGUCUUCUGUCUUGAACCAUGGGCUAUCUUGAACCAAAUCGAGUUCACGGACAACAUGUGGGUGUUGGUGUCCAUUUUGGGUCAUUCGGUAAAUAUUUUGGAGACACUCCAAAGUGCACUUGGUACCCGACAUUGACACAGGUGUGGAAUGUCUGACUUG
rnacentral:lncRNA from 7 species